GAUGAACGCUGGCGGCGUGCUUAACACAUGCAAGUCGAACGGUGAAGGCGGAGCUUGCUCUGCUGGAUCAGUGGCGAACGGGUGAGUAACACGUGAGCAAUCUGCCCCUGACUCUGGGAUAAGCGCUGGAAACGGCGUCUAAUACUGGAUACGAGCUGCGAAGGCAUCUUCAGCAGCUGGAAAGAACUUCGGUCAGGGAUGAGCUCGCGGCCUAUCAGCUUGUUGGUGAGGUAACGGCUCACCAAGGCGUCGACGGGUAGCCGGCCUGAGAGGGUGACCGGCCACACUGGGACUGAGACACGGCCCAGACUCCUACGGGAGGCAGCAGUGGGGAAUAUUGCACAAUGGGCGGAAGCCUGAUGCAGCAACGCCGCGUGCGGGAUGACGGCCUUCGGGUUGUAAACCGCUUUCGCCUGUGACGAAGCGUGAGUGACGGUAAUGGGUAAAGAAGCACCGGCUAACUACGUG
rnacentral:rRNA from 1 species